rnacentral:rRNA from 1 species
UUCCUACGGGGCGCAGCAGUGAGGAAUAUUGGUCAAUGGGCGGGAGCCUGAACCAGCCAAGUCGCGUGAGGGAUGACGGCCCUAUGGGUUGUAAACCUCUUUUGCCGGGGAGCAAAGUGCCGCACGUGUGCGGUUUGGAGAGUACCCGGAGAAAAAGCAUCGGCUAACUCCGUGCCAGCAGCCGCGGUAAUACGUAGGGGGCAAGCGUUAUCCGGAUUUACUGGGUGUAAAGGGGGCGCAGACGGCGAUGCAAGCCAGGAGUGAAAGCCCGGGGCCCAACCCCGGGACUGCUCUUGGAACU